CCGCGAUCCGACAAUGGUCUUGUCUAAAUUUGAAUCCGCUAAAAGCUCUACUAUGAAGUCACAAUCCAGGAUCCGAACUAAAUUGCAAGCUAAAUCCGCAAUCCCAGCCAAAAUAUUAGAUAAAUGCGCAAUCAGCUGUAUUAAUAAGAUCCGCAAAUCCGUGUAAAAUAUUCGCCAGAUUCUAAAUCCGAACAAUUUUUUCUGUGAAAUCUGACGAUCCGAAAACCUAUUCACCCACCCCCCUUAAAAAUGUCGAGGCAACAAAACCCAAAAUGACUCAACUUUUAAUGACAACACCUUUGUUUAGAAGACCGGAUAAUUUGUUCAAUAAUUUAUAUGACUCAAGUUUUAAUGGAAUACCUUAACUUUCAAUAUUUAACCUUUUGUCUUCGAACAAUGAAGUGAAUAUAUGUGCAAAACUGCGACAGUCCGCUUGAAUAUAGGUACAAGUUUGGAAUAAGCGCUGAAUAAUUAUGCACAAGCAAACGUCCCCAAUUGUUAUCUAGUUUAAAUGCUUUUACAUAUAUAUGUAUAUAUAUACGGCCUAAUGAAAAAUUUUACUUUCUGAUCCUCUCCAAAAAUGUAUAGUGACUAAAGUAUGUAACCAAUGUAAUCACAGGAUACAUUAUUUGUAGUGAUUUUGCA